rnacentral:rRNA from 1 species
CCUACGGGUGGCAGCAGUCGAGAAUCAUUCACAAUGGGGGAAACCCUGAUGGUGCGACGCCGCGUGGGGGAAUGAAGGUCUUCGGAUUGUAAACCUCUGUCAUGUGGGAGCAAAUUAAAAAGAUAGUACCACAAGAGGAAGAGACGGCUAACUCUGUGCCAGCAGCCGCGGUAAUACAGAGGUCUCAAGCGUUGUUCGGAAUCACUUGGCGUAAAGCGUGCGUAGGCUGUUUCGUAAGUCGUGUGUGAAAGGUGCGGGCUCAACCCGCGGACGGCACAUGAUACUGCGAGACUAGAGUAAUGGAGGGGGAACCGGAAUUCUCGGUGUAGCAGUGAAAUGCGUAGAUAUCGCGAGGAACACUCGUGGCGAAGGCGGGUUCCUGGACAGUAACUGACGCUGAGGCACGAAGGCCAGGGGAGCGAAAGGGAUUAGAUACCCGGGUAGUC